rnacentral:rRNA from 1 species
UACGGGGGGAGCAAGCGUUGUUCGGAUUUACUGGGCGUAAAGGACGCGUAGGCGGCGUCGACAAGUCACUUGUGAAAUCUCCGGGGCUUAACUCGGAACGGCCAAGUGAUACUGUCGUGCUAGAGUGCAGAAGGGGCAAUCGGAAUUCUUGGAUGUAGCGGUGAAAUGCGCAGAUAUCUAGGAGGAACACCGGUGGCGAAGGCGGUUCUCUGGGCAUUACCUGACGCUGAGGAGCGAAAGUGUGGGGAGCGAACAGG